rnacentral:rRNA from 1 species
AACGAACGCUGGCGGCAUGCCUAACACAUGCAAGUCGAACGAGACCUUCGGGUCUAGUGGCGCACGGGUGCGUAACGCGUGGGAAUCUACCCUUGGGUUCGGAAUAACAGUUAGAAAUGACUGCUAAUACCGGAUGAUGACGAAAGUCCAAAGAUUUAUCGCCCAUGGAUGAGCCCGCGUAAGAUUAGCUUGUUGGUGGGGUAAUGGCCUACCAAGGCGACGAUCUUUAGCUGGUCUGAGAGGAUGAUCAGCCACACUGGGACUGAGACACGGCCCAGACUCCUACGGGAGGCAGCAGUGGGGAAUAUUGGACAAUGGGCGAAAGCCUGAUCCAGCAAUGCCGCGUGAGUGAUGAAGGCCUUAGGGUUGUAAAGCUCUUUUACCAGGGAUGAUAAUGACAGUACCUGGAGAAUAAGCUCCGGCUAACUCCGUGCCAGCAGCCGCAGUAACAC